CCUACGGGUGGCAGCAGUGGGGAAUAUUGCGCAAUGGGCGAAAGCCUGACGCAGCGACGCCGCGUGAGGGAUGAAGGUCUUCGGAUCGUAAACCUCUGUCAGCAGGGAAGAACGGUCACUGUGCUAAUCAGCAGUGAAUUGACGGUACCUGCAAAGGAAGCACCGGCUAACUCCGUGCCAGCAGCCGCGGUAAUACGGAGGGUGCGAGCGUUAAUCGGAAUUACUGGGCGUAAAGCGCUCGUAGGCGGGAUGUCAAGUCAAGGGUGAAAUCUCCGCGCUCAACGUGGGAACUGCAUUUGAAACUGGCGCACUGGAGUGUGUGAGAGGAUGGUGGAAUUCCUGGUGUAGGGGUGAAAUCCGUAGAUAUCAGGAGGAACACCAGUGGCGAAGGCGGCUAUCUGGCACAUAACUGACGCUGAGGAGCGAAAGCGUGGGUAGCAAACAGGAUUAGAUACCCGGGUAGUC
rnacentral:rRNA from 1 species